rnacentral:snRNA from 1 species
AGAUGUGAGGGUGAUCUGGCUGUUACAUCUCUCACUCCAUUGAUUACCAGAGUUGAUUCAGCUUAUCCUAAUGGCUCAGUGGGUGUCCCCUUCCUCUUUCAUCACUUCAUGUGCAUCCCUCCCCAAGCUGCAUGCUCAGCAGAAGAGGAUGGCCAUCCCAGAUAGAAGGAAUGUACCGUUCUUCAGUCAAGGGUAUGCAAUAGCUGUGCUUCUCUGUUAAAACCUCCAAACAAUAAAAGAGGAUUUGGUUAUAGCAGUUCAGCAUUAACUAGUUCCAGCAUGUGUGCCUGCAAUAGUAGUGAAGUGUUGCAAAAC